rnacentral:rRNA from 1 species
GACGAACGCUGGCGGCGUGCUUAACACAUGCAAGUCGAACGGUGAAGCGCCUUCCUUUUUGGUGGGUGUGGAUGAGUGGCGAACGGGUGAGUAACACGUGAGUAACCUGCCCCCUUCUUCUGGAUAACCGCAUGAAAGUGUGGCUAAUACGGGAUAUUCUGGGUCUGUCGCAUGAUGGGUCUGGGAAAGAUAUUGUUUCGGUGGGGGAUGGGCUCGCGGCCUAUCAGCUUGUUGGUGGGGUGAUGGCCUACCAAGGCGGUGACGGGUAGCCGGCCUGAGAGGGUGGACGGUCACACUGGGACUGAGACACGGCCCAGACUACUACGGGAGGCAGCAGUGGGGAAUAUUGCACAAUGGGCGCAAGCCUGAUGCAGCGACGCCGCGUGAGGGAUGGAGGCCUUCGGGUUGUGAACCUCUUUCGCCAGUGAAGCAGGCCUGCCUCGUUUGUGGGUGGGUUGACGGUAGCUGGAUAAGAAGCGCCGGCUAACUACGUG